rnacentral:rRNA from 1 species
GUCCACGCUGUAAACGUUGCGAACUAGGUGUCGGGGUAUUCACCCCUCCGGUGCCGAAGCUAACGUCUUAAGUUCGCCGCCUGGGAAGUACGGCCGCAAGGCUAAAACUCAAAAGGAAUUGACGGGGGCCCGCACAAGCGGUGGAGCAUGUGGUUCAAUUCGAUGCAACGCGAAGAACCUUACCUGGGCUUGACAUCCCGAGAAUCCCUCAGAAAUGAGGGAGUGCCCGUAAGGGAACUCGGAGACAGGUGCUGCAUGGCUGUCGU